GCGGUAGUGGUGUAAUGGCAGCACAGAGGACUGUGGAUCCUCCGGCGCGGGUUCGAUAUCAUAUGACGAAAGUCCCGCCUAUCGCC
rnacentral:tRNA from 1 species